GACGAACCGUGCGAACGUUAUUCGGAAUCACUGGGCUUAAAGCGCGUGUAGGCGGGCCGGCACGUCGGUCGCUGAAAUCCCCCGGCUCAACCGGGGAAGGGGCGCCGAUACGACCGGCCUGGAGGGGGGUAGGGGGAGCCGGAACUCACGGUGGAGCGGUGAAAUGCGUAGAUAUCACUUGGAACGCCAAUGGUGAAAACAGAUAGCUGGGGUUGUGCUGACACUGAGACACGAAAGCCAGGGGAGCAAACGGG
rnacentral:rRNA from 1 species